AAGAAAUGUUUAAUGGCAUGCUUAAGAAACUGGUUGGAGUCUAUGUCAUGUUCUCUACUGCUUCAGGGUGGAGAGACUUCUUAUGACAUUCUUGAGGGUCAAACGCUGUGGUGCCCAGCACAUCAGAAGGGCACCACCCACAAACAAUGUGCUUGAGGACAGACUUUGUAGGGAUGCUAUAAACUGGUUGGAGGACAUGAUUCCUUUUACAACGAAAAUGUGAGAAGACUGUCUUACCGAGAUGGCAUGUGGAUAUUGAUGGAAAUCGCCUUGUUUGUAGGCAAAAAACAACUCAAAACAAAACCAAAUAAACAAACAGAAAUAACAACAGCAAAGAAAGUACAGUCUGAGCAAGAGAAGAGAAAGUCCGCAGGACAGGACAGCAAUGUAAACAGAACAAUACUGUUUUUAAAAAAGGAGGAGUAUGAACUUCAGCAAGCUGAAAGGAACUCUCAUGAUCACCUUCUAGAAUGAUCGAAAUGACCUGCCGGUUCAAAGUCACCCUGACGUGUCCCGUGGGACGAAAACUAAAUACUGACAGCAAGAAAACUGGCUUUGACUCGGAGGCAAGUGUCCCUACAGCCCCUGAGCUCUGGGCAGGCCGCUGUUCCUUUCAGCUCACUUUCACAGAUGGUAGUCUCAGCUGUGACAGGACCUCUGCCAUCCAAGUGAUGGGUAAGCAGACAAACAGAAAGAGCAGCGUGUCCUGUGUGAUACAGACAACCAAGGCUUCUCCAGAGGACGUGCAGUCAGUGAAGACACAGACAGAGAAGAAGUGAAAGGGAAAGUCGUGGAGGGCGGCCGCCUCCUCCUCGCCACCUACCAUCGGCUUUAGCUCUCGGGCAUCCGCAGCACCUCCUUUGCCGGCUUCUUUCAUAGCUUUCCUACUGUUUUCCACAAACUCCUGCAAAACACAGAGCGCACGGCAUUAACUGGGGAUCUUCUUAGGUUUCAGUCAGUAGGUGAACUUUAAGGAUCCAACCUUAGUGUGGUCAACAGUACUCUGAAAAUUGGCUGGGAUGGAUUGCAAUCCAUAGAUAUAAAACCUUCCAUCCAUC
rnacentral:lncRNA from 1 species